UUCGGGCCUUGCGCUAUCAGAUGAGCCUAGGUCGGAUUAGCUAGUUGGUGAGGUAAUGGCUCACCAAGGCGACGAUCCGUAACUGGUCUGAGAGGAUGAUCAGUCACACUGGAACUGAGACACGGUCCAGACUCCUACGGGAGGCAGCAGUGGGGAAUAUUGGACAAUGGGCGAAAGCCUGAUCCAUCCAAGCCGCGUGUGUGAAGAAGGUCUUCGGAUUGUAAAGCAAAAGGAACGAGGGAGGAAGGGCAGUUA
rnacentral:rRNA from 1 species